UACGUAGGGGGCUAGCGUUGCUCGGAAUCACUGGGCGUAAAGCGCACGUAGGCGGAUUCUUAAGUCGGUGGUGAAAGCCUGGAGCUCAACUCCAGAACUGCCUUCGAUACUGAGAGUCUUGAGUCCGGGAGAGGUGAGUGGAACUGCGAGUGUAGAGGUGAAAUUCGUAGAUAUUCGCAAGAACACCAGUGGCGAAGGCGGCUCACUGGCCCGGUACUGACGCUGAGGUGCGAAAGCGUGGGGAGCAAACGGG
rnacentral:rRNA from 1 species